UACAAAUCGGCGUGUUCUAUCUUGACAAG
rnacentral:piRNA from 1 species